rfam:Triticum aestivum genome assembly, contig: Triticum_aestivum_CS42_TGACv1_scaffold_223661_3B
GAAGUACUCCCUCCGUCUGGAAAUACUUGUCCUAGAAAUGGAUAAAAUAGAUGUAUCUAUAAUUAAAAUAAGUCUAGAUAUAACCAUCUCUAGGACAAGUAUUUCCGGACAGAGGGAGUACAUG